GUCGGGUGUGAUGGCUCACGCCUGUAAUCCCAGCACUUUGGGAGGCCGAGGCGGGUGGAUCUCCUGAGGUCAGGAGUUCAAGACCAGCCUGGCCAACAUGGUGAAAUCCCGUCUCUU
rfam:Callithrix jacchus chromosome 22, whole genome shotgun sequence